GACGAACGCUGGCGGCGUGCUUAACACAUGCAAGUCGAACGGAAAGGCCCUGCUUUUGUGGGGUGCUCGAGUGGCGAACGGGUGAGUAACACGUGAGUAACCUGCCCUUGACUUUGGGAUAACUUCAGGAAACUGGGGCUAAUACCGGAUAGGAGCUCCUGCUGCAUGGUGGGGGUUGGAAAGUUUCGGCGGUUGGGGAUGGACUCGCGGCUUAUCAGCUUGUUGGUGGGGUAGUGGCUUACCAAGGCUUUGACGGGUAGCCGGCCUGAGAGGGUGACCGGCCACAUUGGGACUGAGAUACGGACCAGACUCCUACGGGAGGCAGCAGUGGGGAAUAUUGCACAAUGGGCGGAAGCCUGAUGCAGCAACGCCGCGUGCGGGAUGACGGCCUUCGGGUUGUAAACCUCUUUCGCCUGUGACGAAGCGUGAGUGACGGUAAUGGGUAAAGAAGCACCGGCUAACUACGUG
rnacentral:rRNA from 1 species